rfam:Acidovorax citrulli AAC00-1, complete genome.
CUAUCGACCGCAGGUCGCGGAGGACUUCUCCUCCCUUCCCAGGCAGCCAUGAUCUUCAAGGCUGCGGCGCGCUGGCGCCGAUCACACCAGUCCGCUCCGCAUCCGAAACGGUGGACGCCCAGCGCGAAAGCGCUGGUGGAUGC